GGAUGUGGCUCAGGUGGUAGUGCGCUCACCUGGCAUGCAUGCGGCACUGGGUUCGAUCCCCAGCACCA
rnacentral:tRNA from 1 species